rnacentral:rRNA from 1 species
UACGUAGGUGGCAAGCGUUGUCCGGAAUUAUUGGGCGUAAAGCGCGCGCAGGUGGUUUCUUAAGUCUGAUGUGAAAGCCCACGGCUCAACCGUGGAGGGUCAUUGGAAACUGGGGAACUUGAGUGCAGAAGAGGAAAGUGGAAUUCCAAGUGUAGCGGUGAAAUGCGUAGAGAUUUGGAGGAACACCAGUGGCGAAGGCGAGUCUCUGGGCAACAACUGACGCUGAGGAGCGAAAGCGUGGGGAGCGAACAGGA